GGGAAGGAACAAAAACUGAAAGCCACAGGAAAUAUAAAAAGAGAUGGAGUGUGUGAGAGAGAGGACAGCACUGAACUGAGAGAAGCUGCAGAAGAGAGAAAAGGAGAAAAGUCUCACCUCCACGUGAUACUGAGAGGUCUCCUGCAUGAUGACGUUGGAGUUUGAAUAUUUCUUUCGCUGCUCUGUGAGGUGGAGAGAGAAAAAUCAGAGGAACGAGAGCAGAGAGCGGAGAGCGGAGAGAGGAGACUGAGACAGAGGAGAAAGUCUCACUCAGGGCAAUAAGGAAAUGCAGCGGAUCGCAGAGCUGGCCGAAGAUUAAACCCGCAUUGUGCGUCUCAUUGACCUACAUCACAAACAAGAAGCUGAGCUUUGUGCGUGCGGCCGCACACAGUCACC